rnacentral:rRNA from 1 species
GACGAACGCUGGCGGCGUGCUUAACACAUGCAAGUCGAACGGAAAGGCCCUGCUUUUGUGGGGUGCUCGAGUGGCGAACGGGUGAGUAACACGUGAGUAACCUGCCCUUGACUUUGAGAUAACUUCAGGAAACUGGGGCUAAUACCGGAUAGGAGCUCCUGCUGCAUGGUGGGGGUUGGAAAGUUUCGGCGGUUGGGGAUGGACUCGCGGCUUAUCAGCUUGUUGGUGGGGUAGUGGCUUACCAAGGCUUUGACGGGUAGCCGGCCUGAGAGGGUGACCGGCCACAUUGGGACUGAGAUACGGCCCAGACUCCUACGGGAGGCAGCGGUGGGGAAUAUUGCACAAUGGGCGGAAGCCUGAUGCAGCAACGCCGCGUGCGGGAUGACGGCCUUCGGGUUGUAAACCGCUUUCGCCUGUGACGAAGCGUGAGUGACGGUAAUGGGUAAAGAAGCACCGGCUAACUACGUG